CCCCCCGUAGCUCAGUGGCAGAGCGCCCGGCUGUAGACCGGGUGGUCAGGGGUUCGAAUCCCCUCGGGGGGACCA
rnacentral:tRNA from 2 species